UAGGGAAUCUUCCGCAAUGGACGCAAGUCUGACGGAGCAACGCCGCGUGAGUGAAGAAGGAUUUCGGUUCGUAAAACUCUGUUGUUAGAGAAGAACAGCGCAUAGAGUAACUGUUAUGCGUGUGACGGUAUCUAACCAGAAAGCCACGGCUAACUACGUGCCAGCAGCCGCGGUAAUACGUAGGUGGCAAGCGUUGUCCGGAUUUAUUGGGCGUAAAGCGAGCGCAGGCGGUUAGAUAAGUCUGAAGUUAAAGGCAGUGGCUCAACCAUUGUAGGCUUUGGAAACUGUUUAACUUGAGUGCAGAAGGGGAGAGUGGAAUUCCAUGUGUAGCGGUGAAAUGCGUAGAUAUAUGGAGGAACACCGGUGGCGAAAGCGACUCUCUGGUCUGUAACUGACGCUGAGGUUCGAAAGCGUGGGUAGCAAACAGG
rnacentral:rRNA from 1 species